GGAGAGGUGCGAGAGUGGUUGAAUCGGUCAGUCUCGAAAACUGAAGUAGUCGCAAGGCUACCGUGGGUUCGAAUCCCACCCUCUCCG
rnacentral:tRNA from 2 species